AGUCAAGGCAGCUAUAGGUGGUUAUUUUUGUACUGAAUAUGCAAUAUAGAAGUAAUAUAGUAAAUUUAUUUGUUCAACUAAUAUUUAACAUCUAAUUUGCAGUUGGCCACUUUCAAAAUUAAUUCCAUAAGAUUUUGAUUUAUUUGAAUCUACACUGAAGCAAUGCCGACCGAAAUCUUGUGUUCAAAUCAAAUCAAUGUUAUCUCGCUUACGAAUGAAGAUGCCUUGAGUGACAGCCGACGACGCAGCUUUGAAUUGGCAACGUUAAAACAAUUCAACAUACACGGAGAAAGAUCUAAUAACUCCGAAACGACAUAUCUACAAGUUCGCACAGUUGACCUGCAUAACCGAGUUAAGUUCGUAGCAGGAUCAUCUUGAAUUGCUCCAUAGAACCAAUGCAUGUGAUCCACGUUAAGCGGAUGCAAACACUACGCCAUCUACUCCGCUAUAUAAGAGUACAUUGGUACAAAGCUGUCUCCGUGAACCGCUGAAAAAAAAUCGAUAUGACGUCACAGUUGAUAUGACGUCACUCAGCUGGUUCUAUGAGCAAAUAAUAACCAAGAAUAUUACGGAAACCAAAGAACUGCCGGUGGAAGAAAACACGAAGAAAAGAGAAAGACGGAACCAAAGCUCAAGAACGAAGAUGGAACCAUAGCAUACUCAGACUAAGAUUUAUUCUUGGUCGAUGUAAAUACUAACUUAUGUGAGCUGUAGCAUAAAAUAUCCCUUAUACUUAUUGAAUGCUUGUUUAAAAUUGGAUGUUUAUUGGUACACUGUGUGUGGUGUGGGGUCGGGAAGUAUACGGAGAUCAAAUAAUUAAAGUCCACCUUAUACACGUUAGUAAUGUAACGUGGUUGGGAAUCUUGGGUUUUAUUUCUCCAUUUGUGUGUGUGUGUGUGUGUGUAAACAACCUGCAUAAGAACGGUGCGCGCAGGUCAGAUUUCCCCAACUUUAACCCAUACUCCUGGUGUCACUUAUCAGCAAGGCCGGACAGUCGGCAUCAGAUAGAUAGAAGUGACAUCGCAAUAACUAGGGAUCGCUGUUAGGAAGUUUUAAGUUAGACAGAACUGGGACACUGCACCCGCGGCCGACACAACACGUGUCAUUGCACUCAGGCCAAACAAGCAGUGCCCGGUUUGCGAAAACCAUAUUCCAACACGCCGGUUGGUUAAAAGUCCGGUCAGCGAAAGCUGGUGGGUUCCAACUGCAAAACAAUUAGGCGCCAAACCUGCGACUAGGGUAGGGAUCAAAAAUACAAAAAAGUUAGCUCCCUGUUAGGCCCCCUAAAAACACUAACCCAUUACUUCUUUUAAAGGUGCAUUUAUGUUGUUAUUCCUUUUUUGAAUCGACAACAAGCGCGAA